rnacentral:rRNA from 1 species
AGUGAACGCUGGCGGCGUGCCUAAUACAUGCAAGUCGAACGGAGUGGCGCACGGGUGAGUAAUGUAUAGCUAAUCUGCCCUCCACUAGAGGACAACAGUUGGAAAAGACUGCUAAUACUCCAUAGUGUAGGAUGAGGCUUUAUUGUAUCAGAUCGUUGGUGAGGUAAUGGCUCUACAAGGCUAGGAGGCAUAACUGGUCUGAGAGGAUGUGCAGUCACACCGGAACUGAGACACGGGGCAGCCGUGUGCGGUAGGGAGCAGUAGGCGAUAGUGCUCAAUGGGGACACCCCUGAGGCAGCGACGCCGCGUGGAGGAUUACACUUUUCGGAGCGUAAACUCCUUUUGUUUUGGAAGCGGUACCUAACGAAUAAGCCCCGGCUAACUCCGUGCCAGCCGCCGCGGUAAUAC